rnacentral:rRNA from 1 species
CUCCUUGCCACACACCGCCCGUCGCUUCCAUCGAAGUUGGUUCUUGGCGAGGUGGUGACCUAAUUGGUACUAUCGAACCUGGGGUACAGCAACGAGGGAG